GAGGGGAAGACCUACUGGGGUGAUUGGCCAAAAAUGUGGAGACCUCAGGAUAUGGCACAGGAAGUGAUCUUGGUCCUUGCAUGACAUUGCAUACGGACCUGCAGCAGCCUCAUAGUCUUUCAUGGCUUACAGCAUCCCCUGGCUCUGAUAUGCAUGGGAACAGAAUCACCAAGUUCUAUCCUGAUAUCAAAACUGAAUCACCAGCUACUAGACUAGACCACAGAACAGGUGCUUUUCGGUGUGAUUUGCAGGAAAUUCUCCCACCAGAGACCCGUGUUAUGCCUGGCAUACAGGAGGCAUUCAGAACAUUUGAUGACUAG
rnacentral:lncRNA from 1 species